UACUAACUGAAAGUCUCCAGCUGAUGCCUGCUACAUUUACUUUGUAUUGUCUUUGCCUGGUCAUCUUGAUACAGUUGUCAAAAUGCAACUGCUGUCAGAGUGUCAGUCUUUCUAUGCCUGUCUUCUGGUUUCAUGUCCCAGCUUGUUUUAAAACAUGUCCUAGAUGCUGCUGUGCGCUGUGAAGUUCAU